UACAGAGGGGGCAAGCGUUAUUCGGAAUUAUUGGGCGUAAAGGGCGCGUAGGCGGCUCCAAAAGUCGGAUGUGAAAUCCCUGGGCUCAACCGAGGAAGUGCAUCCGAAACUGCGGAGCUUGAGUAUGGAAGAGGGUCGCGGAAUUCCCGGUGUAGAGGUGAAAUUCGUAGAUAUCGGGAGGAACACCAGUGGCGAAGGCGGCGACCUGGGCCAAUACUGACGCUGAGGUGCGAAAGCGUGGGGAGCAAACAGG
rnacentral:rRNA from 1 species